CCUACGGGGGGCAGCAGUGGGGAAUAUUGGGCAAUGGAGGAAACUCUGACCCAGCAACGCCGCGUGAAUGAUGAAGGUCUUCGGAUUGUAAAGUUCUUUUCUAAGGGAAGAAGAAAGUGACGGUACCUUAGGAAUAAGCCUCGGCUAACUACGUGCCAGCAGCCGCGGUAAUACGUAGGAGGCAAGCGUUAUCCGGAAUGACUGGGCGUAAAGGGUGCGUAGGUGGUUCAGCAAGUUAGUAGCGUAAUUCCGGGGCUCAACUUCGGCACUACUACUAAAACUGUUGGACUUGAGUGCAGGAGGGGCAACUGGAAUUUGUGGUGUAGCGGUGGAAUGCGUAGAUAUUAGGAAGAACACCGGUGGCGAAGGCGAGUUGCUGGACUGUAACUGACACUGAGGCACGAAAGCGUGGGGAGCAAACAGGAUUAGAUACCCCAGUAGUC
rnacentral:rRNA from 1 species